CAGCUUUUCUUGGUUUAUUAGAGUGUUUUGUUUAACCUUUAAUUUUGAACCCGCAUUAUUCAUACUUUAUGUAUGACUAUAUCUAAUUAAAUGAUCUAAAAUACCGGUAUAACAAGUGUAUAUCUUAAUUAAAACACAAAAGAAGGGAAUGCCCUGCUAUCUCGGGUAAAAAUCAUGCAAGUUCACACCGUACUGAAUUAUAAUAUAUAAUACUCGUACACAAGCUGAUUAAGACAUUUAUGCCAUAUUUAUGUUAAAAGUAUAACUAAUUACUUCAUAAUUUAUGUGGAAAUGUUAUGUUUUUGUGUUUCCAUCCAAACUCUGUGUAAGUGGAAGUUGGUGCUUUUGAGCCUGCGCAGUUGCCAUCCUCACACAAACUCAAACAACAAACAGCGAAACAGUUGGCAACCGAAUGCAUUUUUGAAGGGAAGAGGGAAGGUAGAGAAAGAUGAAAACAUAAUAAAACAAGUAAUAUCAACUAGAGUUCAUGAGCGAAAAUGUGAUUGCAAGUAGUUACGGUGUGAAGAUGUGCGAAGAAUGAAAGGAAAUGCGGCCACAAACAAAUUUAUGAGAUUUCAACAGCGACGAAUUGAUGCAAUCAACAAAACAGCGAAAUGGCCAAAAUAAAAACGAAAUUUGGAGCAUUUAAAACAGUUGUGAGGUUAUAAGAUUCAGCGGGUAUAUUGUCGUUUGUAAGAGUUACUCGAAAUUUAGUUAAAUGGAAUAAAAUAUGAAAAAAUAA